GUCGGCGGCCCGGCCCAGGCUCGGCGUGCACACCCGCGAGCUGCGCCUUUCGAGAGGACUAUUUAUCUGUACUCCUCGGAACAAACCACCCCAGGCCAAGAAGAGGGGGUUGGAAAGGGGGGCAAGAGAACUUGAAGCUAAGCCGCAGAGAUAGAUGCUGAGUAAAGGACCCCAAAUCUCCAGGCUGGUGUUGGUGAGACGGACUCCUGCCCCCUCGGAAGGCAUAGUCUCGUGGGAAAAAGCGUGAUAAUGUGGGGCGCGCACAUUACGUCACAUCCUUUCUCGCCUAUCCCAGUCAUCUGGCCUGCGCCUCACCACGUGCACCUGGUCUGGUCUAAUCCGCCCAAACCCAGGACGCCAGGAGAAACGCUUCCGGUUUGGAUCUCCGCAGCUCCUGGUAAUGGAAACCUCAGCCCCGGAGAGGCCUUGGCUCGCUUUUCCAGGCAGGACAGGCCACCCUGCGGACGCCGGCCUGGGCUCGGUGCCCAGUACCUGGGCCUCUUCAGAGCAGCCCUGGGUACAGAGUAGACGCACAGGCCAGGGAGAUGAAGGCUCAAGGUCAUGGGAUGUUCGAGUCACGUACUGUGCAGGUCACGUGGGAUGCCAGUCACGUGAGGGGCAGGUCACUUGGAGGCAAGUCGCUUGGGGGCACAGAAUGUGACCAGCCUUUCCCUAGGCCCAGGCUCUUCUUCCUUUAUCCACGCGAAGCCCUGAACCCAGCUCCAGGUCCGGGCAGUUUGUGUCUCGGGCGCAUCCUGAAUGUCCCCACGCCCCCUGCCUGGGAAGGAAAGGAGCUCCUGGCAUUUGAUGCCCACCAGCCACAUGGUUGGGCACCUGUGGGAACAGUGGAAUCGACCAGAGGAGUCCUCUGUCAUCCAGACACAACCAUCCCCUGCUGCUGGUUUAUUCAUCCAAGAAGUGUGGCAAGAUUUUUGCCUCCUCAGAGCCCGGUAAGGCCUGAGCGUGGAGAGAGGCCGGUGCCAGGAUGCAUCAGGCUUGGGGAGGCUGAAGGCAGAAAAGCCAGGGUUAGGAGUGAAAAGGGAGACGGAGAGUGAGAAGACGCAGAGACCUGAUUUCCUCUGCCAUUCAGGAGAGGAAAUAAAAAUCCUCGUUGAUAUCUUGACAACUACAGAUGCACGUGGCUUUGGGAAAAGAUUUUCUUUUAAAGCUGUAUUUGUGGAUUCUAGGGAGGCUGCGCCAGUGUGUAACUGUUCUGCAAACCCCGGAUUCCACCUGGAAUGUCGUGUGUCUGCUGCAAAUCACUUUGACCACUCAAGCAGUGGAGUACAGCAGCCCAGCUCUCGCGGAAAAAGCCCUGCGGUGAAGGUCUCCCUUGGAGGCCUGUUUGCAGAAUCCCUGGACCUCAUUGAUUUGGAAAAUCCUGAAGGGCAAACAAGUCUGGCCUGUGGCUUGUGGGUCUGCGAGCAGUCUUGUUUUAAGAAAUCCCUUGAGACAGCUUUUCACUCUUAGGCAGAAGCCAAGAAACUUGUAUCUCGGGAGAUUUUUCUUUGACUAUUGAUUUUUAUUGGCAGUACUUUGGGAAUGUGAAAAUACUCCAUUAUGGAAACAUCCCUUGAAAUGCAGCACACGGCUGUGGUCUCCAGUAUGUGGUCCUGGCCCUGUUGGAUUUAGUUGUGGAGUUAACCUAGGAGAGAAUGACCUCCUGCCUUGUGGCACGUACUGGUGCUCUGCUGCAGACAUCAGGAGAUCUCUGCAUCUACCGGCUGAGUGGCCUUGGGCCACUUGGAGCUGUUUCUCUGUGUAGAGCCCACCUCCCAGGUGGUGGUGAGGCUCAACACGACUGCCAGUGUGCAGGCUCCCCUGGAGGCCAUAGAGCAUUGUACAAGCGAGAGAACCGCAACUGUGCAUGAAGAACUUGCCUCAAAUCAUUGGGUUUGGCUUCUCCUAUCAAACUUUCCCCAAGAUUUUCCAAAGCUGGAGCAGACUUCCAUUAUUCCUGAACCACACCUUGAUCAGGAGACUUUGAUUAACAUGACAGAGAAUUGUGUCCUGUGUACUUAGAAGAGGACGUGGGCUCUCAUCUUCUCCAAGAAAGUGAAAAGACCGUUUUCAAGAUCACUGAUGACUCAGCCAUAGAUGUUAGACUGACCGCAUCCUGAUGCAGCUUCGACUGGAAGCUGACCUAAGGUGGCUGUCCCAUUGGAACAAAUGUAACAAAGAUUCACAUAUAGACAUCAAUAACUGAUAAAGAAUUAGCCAUAAGUAUGCACUCCAAGACAUGGAAAUACGUCUCAAACUACCAUGACCGUCCUGUCACGAAGGCAAGGCUGUCACCACAUUGUUCACAAACGCUUGGCCCAGUGUAAUCUCAAGUGACAAAAGGGAAUAGGCUGUCACCACCCGCAUAGACAACGCUCCGUUGUGAUGGAACGAAUAGACUUUUAGGAGACAUCCUGAUACUCAAUAUAUGGUUUCCUUCCAAUAGCAUUGUCUGUUGCUUGCUCGUUUUAAACACAACUUAAUCGAUGCUGUGAAACUAAAUCCCAUUUUCUAGCUCCUGUAAGAAUUCAGUGCUUCUGAGUUUGAGCUUUGUUUUCGUAGUGACAUCAGUUUGUUUUAACAUUCCCAUUAGGGAUUCUUUUGUGAGGGGAGAUGUAAAUUAGGUUUUACUUUGUUUAUUCUGAGUUUGUCGUGAGCAGAAGUUUGAUGAAAUAAUCUUUGAAAAUCCAGAAGACCCUACACACUAUGGUAGCAUAAUCCAGUUUCCCCCUCACUAUUGCGUCUGACGUCCUUCUGAAAAAAAAAAUGAAUAUUUUAGGCAGGAGACAAACACGAGGGAAAGAAGAGGUUUGGGGGUGAAACUGGGGACAAAUGAGAACUCCAGUGCUUCGGUGAAAUGUAUCUGCUCGCUCAGUGUACCAGUUCUCAAUCUUCCAGCUUCCCCUGCUUUUCCACCCCAUUUGACUCCCCCACCUGCAAGGUCAGCUGCUCCAAGGAGCAAUUUAUAAACUUGCAGCUCAUAUUGUGGUUGCAGUUCCAGGACUGACAUGAAAUUAAAUCAGUCUUGAGUGCUGUAGGAUGCAAAAGCUACCUUCCGAGUUUACUGAGCCCUCCACGACUCCUAAUAAAUCUUGGAAAGGUAGCAUUCCACCAGUAAAUGCCCAGCGUCUCUCCUCACAAAAGGACCUUGAAAUGGAAACAACGAAGUUUUCUUUGAGGCCAUAUUUCAUACCACAGAGAGGGAGACGUACAUGGAAGCCGCAUUCUUAAGCACCCUUUUCCAGCUCUGCAACAGGCGCUUUGUGAGACAAUGUUAAAUGAGCCCUUAACUUGCUCCUCCACGUUCCCAACUGCUGGGGCCGCGUGGUAUGAAAACAUCCGUGAAAAGUUGACUGUACUCACAAAGUUUCAUUAUUGUUUUUCAAGAGCAGAAGGUGAGUCUUUAAAAGGUCAAUGAGCCUAUAAAUAUGGCUUUGCUACAAAUGUGUCACCCCUCAAUUUCCAGGGACACCGAAGCUUAUUGCUGGAGGCUCAUCAGUGUGGCUGAGAAGGAAUCUGAAGCAGAUGCUGUCAGACGGAGCCAGAGGCAGCAUGCUGAACGUGGAAGGAGAGAUUGAUGAGGAAAGAGAGGAGGAGCAAAGUAUGCCACAUUCUCUCCACACUGCAGGCUUCUCAGGCAAGCCAGGCUAGGAUAAGGGAAAUGUGUUAAAUUAGUGAUGAGACACAUGGCUGCGCACUCUCCUCUGUAGAUGUGGUCAGGGAAGAGCCACAAAGCUCCUGUUCCUCCCACCAUUUUAAAGGACACCUUAAUAAGUGGGCCUGUUACCCAGAAGACAACCAAGGUGUGGAGAAGUCUAGAUGAAAUAUUUCAUUAAACAUAUUGGGAGAAAUGAGCUUAUAUAGAGAGACAAGGGAACAAAUGAAAUAAUAGAACCCACAAUAAUCUUUCAAUCUAUAAAACCAAAAUGGAAAAAUUUUGUGCUAACCAAGAAAGCCAGCUAAGGCAGGCGUUAGAAGAAGCAGGUAUAAAGUUAAAUAUGAACCAUCUUUCUAAGACUUUGCCUGUGCUGGUGAUGGGAUGGCUAUUCAUCAGGAAAACACUAGACAAGAUCUUGAAUUGGGUAAAAGAAAAACAAGUGGAUGAAAUUGUCAUUAUUGUAGUCAAUUCAAUUAUUGGUGGUAUUUGGGGUCCCAGCGGACACUGGGUCUGGUCUGGGGCAGCCCUGAAGCCUCUGUCCAUUACCAUCCUCAUUGGCAGUCCCUUAUUUCUGGCUCUGAGAAAGGCUGGCCUGCUUUGUCCUCAGACUGUGCCUACCCCUCACCCCCAGCCUUGGCUCGUACAGGAAGGCAGGCCAGGGCCCCUGAGUGUAGAUGAUGAAAAAACUUUGCCUGGGCAAUGAAUCAAUAAAAGACUUUGCCUUUCCUUUGUGCCAUCAGAUACUGGACAAGAAGAAAAUGGACUCCCCCCCCCCCAGGUUUAUUGAGAUAUAAUUAACACCUAACAUCGUGUCAACUUAAGAUGUACAAGGUAUUGAUUCGACACAUUUAUAAAUUGCAAAAUGGUUACCACCUUAACAUUAGCUACCAUCUCCAUCCUAUCAUGUAGUUACCAGUUCUUUUUUGUGGCGAGAACAUUUACGAUCUACUCUCUUAGCAACAUUCAAGUAUAUGAAACAGUAUGAUUAGCUAUAAUCACCAUGCUGUACUUCUUUUUAAUUAUUUUCCCCUUUUAGAAGUCUAGUCUCUCAAUCAUGAACUUCAGCCCCUGGCUUCCUUCUGCCCUUAAGCAAACUCUUUCAGAUCAUUGAUGAUAUCGACAUGAUCCAUUUACUGUGUCCACGUUCUGGGAGAGACAAUGACUUCACGGGCUCUGGCUGGACCAUCAGCCAGGGAAGAUCUUCCUGUGUCCACGUGCUGUUCCUUGUAAUAGGCACUUGAUAAAUAUCUUUCGAAUAAAUGAAUCAGUCAGCCAAGAAAGCUUAAUUUUAUUGUAUUUUUAUUUCUGGAGAAAUAAGUUUUUUUGUUGCAUUUAUCACAGUAAUAGGACGAAGAUACGUAUUUAAAGUAACGUCCAUCAGUUAACUAGAAGGAUUAAUUGUGUGCUCAUUAGAUGAUAAUUAUGACAGUAGUGAAUUCUGUUUGCCAACAGGAUCUGUAGAAAUAAAAUCAGUUGAAGCAUUAUAAGUAGAAAAAGACCAAAGUAAAAUUGCAACAGAAUUUGCAAAGGCUGAACAAAGGAGAGCUCCAUUAGCAUCCAGUUACGAUAGAAAACUGGAAGUUACUUAGAACAGUGCCUGGCAAAUAGGAAACACUCAGUAAGUGAGGAUGAUGAUGAUGAUGAUGAUAUCACCGUCAUCAUCAUCAUGAUCCCCUGGUAACAAGAUAAUUUUAAGUGGCAUUCAGAUGAGACAUUAAAUAAUGUCAAAUCGCACAUUGAUGAAGUUAUUUCCUUUUUAAUUUGAUUUCACUUAUUCUAAUGACCGCCAAAAGAAUGUUGCCAGGUGGUCCCAGUAUAUCUUGUACACUAGCCCUCAAGAUCAGAACCAGAUUUUAAUAGCAUUGUUUUGUUUUCAUUGUAUUUAUCUAUUUUUAUUUUUA